rnacentral:rRNA from 1 species
GAUCAUGGCUCAGGAUGAACGCUGGCGGCGUGCUUAACACAUGCAAGUCGAGCGAAGUGCUUAAGUCUGAUUCUUCGGAUGAAGACUUUUGUGACUGAGCGGCGGACUGGUGAGUAACGCGUGGGGUAACCUGCCUCAUACAGGGGGAUAACAGUUAGAAAUGACUGCUAAUACCGCAUAAGACCACGGUACCGCAUGGUACAGUGGUAAAAACUCCGGUGGUAUGAGAUGGACCCG